rnacentral:rRNA from 1 species
UACGUAGGGUGCGAGCGUUGUCCGGAAUUAUUGGGCGUAAAGAGCUUGUAGGCGGUUUGUCGCGUCUGCUGUGAAAAUCCGGGGCUCAACCUCGGGUCUGCAGUGGGUACGGGCAGACUGGAGUGCGGUAGGGGAGAAUGGAAUUCCUGGUGUAGCGGUGGAAUGCGCAGAUAUCAGGAGGAACACCGAUGGCGAAGGCAGUUCUCUGGGCCGUAACUGACGCUGAGGAGCGAAAGCGUGGGGAGCGAACAGG